CGCGGGCGACCCGCGGCAGGACAAAAAGACCCCGUGGAGCUUUACUGUAGCCUGGUAUUGGGCUGGGAGCUGUCAUGUGUAGGAUAGGUGGGAGGCUGAGAAGCCCCGACGCCAGUCGGGGUGGAGCCAUCGUUGAAAUACCACCCUUGGCAGUUUUUGGUUCUAACCUGCAUAGCGGGGACAGUGCCUGGUGGGCAGUUUAACUGGGGCGGUUGCCUCCUAAAAGGUAACGGAGGCGCCCAAAGGUCCCCUCAGGACGGAUGGAAAUCGUCCACAGAACGCAUUGGCAUAAGGGGGCUUGACUGCAAGACCUACAAGUCGAGCAGGGACGAAAGUCGGGCAAAGUGAUCCUACGGCACCGUGUGGAAGGGCCGUGGCUUAUCGGAUAAAAGCUACCCCGGGGAUAACAGGCUUAUCUCGCCCAAGAGUUCACAUCGACGGCGAGGUUUGGCACCUCGAUGUCGCCUCGUCCCAUCCUGGGGCUGAAGGAGGUCCCAAGGGUUCGGCUGUUCGCCGAUUAAAGGGGUACGUGAGUUGGGUUCAGAACGUCGUGAGACAGUUCGGUCUCUAUCCGCCGUGGGCGCAGGAGGCUUGAGGGAACCUUUCCCUAGUACGAGAGGACCGGGAAGGACAAACCUAUGGUGUUCCAGUUGUUCCGCCAGGAGCAGCGCUGGGUAGCCAUGUUUGGCAGCGAUAAGCGCUGAAGGCAUCUAAGCGCGAAGCAUCCCCCAAGAUUAGGCCUCCCUCCCCGAUUCAGUUCGGGGGUAAGACUGCAGCGAGACUAGCUGCUUGAUAGGCCGGAUGUGUAAGGCUGGUAACAGCUUCAGCAAACCGGUACUAACCAGUCGAGCGAUUUGACCCA
rnacentral:rRNA from 1 species